rnacentral:rRNA from 1 species
AGUGAACGCUGGCGGUAGGCCUAACACAUGCAAGUCGAACGGCAGCACAGUAAGAGCUUGCUCUUACGGGUGGCGAGUGGCGGACGGGUGAGGAAUACAUCGGAAUCUACUUUUUCGUGGGGGAUAAUGUAGGGAAACUUACGCUAAUACCGCAUACGACCUACGGGUGAAAGCAGGGGAUCUUCGGACCUUACGCGAUUGAAUGAGCCGAUGUCGGAUUAGCUAGUUGGCGGGGUAAAGGCCCACCAAGGCGACGAUCCGUAGCUGGUCCGAGAGGGUGAUCAGCCACACUGGAACUGAGACACGGUCCAGACUCCUACGGGAGGCGGCGGUGGGGAAUAUUGGACAAUGGGCGCAAGCCUGAUCCAGCCAUACCGCGUGGGUGAAGAAGGCCUUCGGGUUGUAAAGCCCUUUUGUUGGGAAAGAAAAGCAGCAGGUUAAUACCCCGCUGUUCUGACGGUACCCAAAGAAUAAGCACCGGCUAACUUCGUG